rnacentral:sRNA from 1 species
CUCUUCCUCUCUCUUGCGGGCAGAGAAGAAACCCACGCGCGCACGCGGUGAUGUCUUACUGGUGAUAAUUGGCCCAGGGGUCGCCUGGCAUCUGCUCUCGUCCUGUCUUCCUCCAGGCUUACACCAUCUGAGCCAGACAGGGUUCUAGCCUGCCGUCUCCUGCCUUGUCCUUAUCCUCCGCGCUCCCGUGCUGAACUUGCUUCCUUAACCUUCUCGGCACCUGCCACCUCCUCUGUCUUUCUGCAGUCUCUGCAAAUUUUAACUAUGUCUUCAGAUCGUCUCCCCAACAGUCUGGAGUUUCACGAGGACGGGACUGUCACCUGUUCAGUUUCUGAUGCUCACUAAAGCCCAGCCCAGAGUGGAAACUCAGAAGACAACUGUCCUUAAUGGCACCAGAUAACUGUCCAAGGAAAGGGCCCUGCCAGAGGCCUCCCUCUGUGAGCCAACCACAUGUCUCUCCCACGGAAGAAAGUCCACAUGUCUCGAUCACCUUGGGCUGAAGGACCAAUGCAUCCGAUGUGGGCCACCACGCCAGACCGAGCUUCUAAUAUGUUUCACGUGUCUCACUGGCUGCUUGGGCCCCUUGUUAUCUGUCCUGUCCUUUGUGGCCUCUGUUCUGACUCUGGUGAAAUGCUGCUCAACGUUGCUUUGGUUCAUACAGGGAUUUUGUGAGGCGAUGCCUUCAGAGGCUGGGCUCUCUUGGUCGUGCAUUUGCAUUUUCUACUAAAAAUGUCUGACAAGUUAUAAA